CCUCUGGUAGUCUAUUGGUAAGGACACCCCGACAAGGGAGUUGGAAACUGGGUUCGAUUCCCAGACAGAGGUC
rnacentral:tRNA from 1 species